AUGGUGGUUCUGAUUCCAAAGGUCAAAACCCCAAAGAGGAUCAAGGAUCUCCGCCCAAUCAGUUUGUGCAAUGUCGUCUACAAGUUAGUAUCAAAAGUGAUUGCCAAUAGGCUUAAAUUGAUCCUACCCGAAGUGAUUUCAGAGCACCAGAGUGCGUUUGUGCCGAGGAGGCUCAUUACGGACAAUGUCCUCACGGCCUACGAAGUUUCCCAUUACCUCAUGAAUAAACGAAGAGGGAGGAGUGGAGUUGCGGCCAUUAAAGCAGACAUGAGCAAGGCGUAUGAUCGGGUGGAGUGGAGGUUCCUGGAGGCCAUGCUUAACAGGUUGGGUUUCAGCUCGAGAUGGACUGCCCUUGUCAUGAAAUGUGUACGGACGGUGCGAUACCAGAUCAAGGUUAAUGACCAACUAACGCAGCAGUUCAGUCCCGAGCGAGGACUCCGUCAAGGAGAUCCCAUCUCCCCCUAUCUGUUUGUUAUUUGCGCAGAAGGCUUGACAUCGUUGCUGUUAGAUGCAGAACAGAGAGGUGUUACACAUGGCGUGAAAGUUUGCCCGAGGGCACCAUCUGUUUCCCACCUUUUUUUUGCAGAUGACUCUAUGCUACUCAUCAGGGCAAAACAACGAGAAGCAACAGCGCUAAAUGACAUGCUGAAACUGUAUGAAACUUGCUCCGGGCAGUGUAUAAACACAGAGAAAUCCGCAGUGAUGUUCAGUCCUAAUACAAGUGAGGAUGACAGAACCAAAGUGAAAGCUGCUUUGGGAAUACAUAAUGAAGAUUGGAAUGAAAAAUACCUCGGGCUUCCCGUCCAUGUGGGACGAUCAAGAAAGAGAGCGUUUAAUUACAUUAAACGGAACAUGUGUGGACGUGUGUAUGGAUGGCAAGAAAGACUCCUAGCAAAAGAGAGCAAGGAAACCCUAGUGAAGGCUGUUGGACAAGCCAUUCCUACCUUUGCUAUGUCAUGCUUCGAUUUGACUAAAACCUUCUGCAUGGAGCUGAAUACACUUCUUGGGAACUUCUGGUGGAGCCAACAAGACAAGAAAAACCCCUUGCAU
rnacentral:rRNA from 1 species